rfam:Ipomoea nil DNA, scaffold: scaffold0178, cultivar: Tokyo-kokei standard.
GGAUUUGUGGCACAAUAGUAGUGUGUUUGACUCCAAAUUAGAAGGUUGUGUGUUUGAUUCAUGUUGGGUUCA